rnacentral:rRNA from 1 species
AUUGAACGCUGGCGGCAUGCUUUACACAUGCAAGUCGGACGGCAGCACAGAGAAGCUUGCUUCUUGGGUGGCGAGUGGCGAACGGGUGAGUAACAUAUCGGAACGUACCGAGUAAUGGGGGAUAACUAAUCGAAAGAUUAGCUAAUACCGCAUAUUCUCUGAGGAGGAAAGCAGGGGACCUUCGGGCCUUGCGUUAUUCGAGCGGCCGAUAUCUGAUUAGCUAGUUGGUGGGGUAAAGGCCUACCAAGGCGACGACCAGUAGCGGGUCUGAGAGGAUGAUCCGCCACACUGGGACUGAGACACGGCCCAGACUCCUACGGGAGGCAGCAGUGGGGAAUUUUGGACAAUGGGCGCAAGCCUGAUCCAGCCAUGCCGCGUGUCUGAAGAAGGCCUUCGGGUUGUAAAGGACUUUUGUCAGGGAAGAAAAGGCUGUUGCUAAUACCGACAGCUGAUGACGGUACCUGAAGAAUAAGCACCGGCUAACUACGUGCCAGCAGCCGCGGUAAUACGUAGGGUGCGAGCGUUGUCCGGAAUUAUUGGGCGUAAAGGGCUCGUAGGCGGCUUGUCGCGUCUGCUGUGAAAACGCGGGGCUCAACUCCGCGCGUGCAGUGGGUACGGGCAGGCUGGAGUGCGGCAGGGGUGGCUGGAAUUCCUGGUGUAGCGGUGGAAUGCGCAGAUAUCAGGAAGAACACCGAUGGCGAAGGCAGGCCACUGGGCCGUCACUGACGCUGAGGAGCGAAAGCGUGGGGAGCGAACAGG